CUAACAGUAACUAUCGUUUCAGUUUUAUGUGUCACCACUUGGAAUUGCUGGGCUGGUGCGCCACUGCCAUCUUCGUCCAGACACCGUCUUUGCAGUCGUACACACGGUCGUGUAAUUAUUGUUUUUGUAUUUAUUUUAUUACCUUAUGUCGCUUUGUAACGGGAAGUCAUUUUCGUCACGACCUUUCACUUUCUUUAUGAUUUUAAAUUUAGUUACAUACUCGCAGUUUAAUGUAUAAUAAAUCACAAGGAAAAUAUGCCAUCUUAAAGUUGUGAACAAAUGUGUUACCAUUUUUUUAUAAAUAUUUUUGUCACGUCGUACCACAUUAUCAUAUACCUAACUCAGGGAAAGUCACCGCCAGUAAGUGCCCGGCGACGUAACAAUUAUUUUGCCUUAACUAUACCUAUGUUCUCUUGUUUUAAUGUAUUUCUCAUAUUUAGUAACACUUUGAAUGUAAUAAUAGUAUGCAAUUUAAACUAUUG